rnacentral:rRNA from 1 species
GGGUUGUGAGGUUAAGCGAAUAAGCGUACACGGUGGAUGCCUAGGCAAUCAGAGGCGAUGAAGGACGUGCUAAUCUGCGAAAAGCGUCGGUAAGGUGAUAUGAACCGUUAUACCCGACGAUAUCCGAAUGGGGAAACCCAGUAUCCAAUGGAUACUAUCAUUAACUGAAUCCAUAGGUUAAUGAGGCGAACCGGGAGAACUGAAACAUCUCAGUACCCCGAGGAAAAGAAAUCAACCGAGAUUCCCCUAGUAGCGGCGAGCGAACGGGGAGCAGCCCAGAGUCUUAAUCAAUAGCAGUGUCAGGAGAACGGUCUGGAAAGUCCGGCAGUAAAGGGUGAUAGCCCCGUAUCUGAAGAUGCUGUUAUUGUGAACUCGACGAGUAGGGCGGGACACGUGUUAUCCUGUCUGAAUAUGGGGGGACCAUCCUCCAAGGCUAAAUACUCCUGAUUGACCGAUAGUGAACCAGUACCGUGAGGGAAAGGCGAAAAGAACCCCGGCGAGGGGAGUGAAAAAGAACCUGAAACCGUGUACGUACAAGCAGUAGGAGCCUCUUUAUGGGGUGACUGCGUACCUUUUGUAUAAUGGGUCAGCGACUUAUAUUCUGUAGCAAGGUUAACCGUAUAGGGGAGCCGUAGGGAAACCGAGUCUUAACUGGGCGAAUGAGUUGCAGGGUAUAGACCCGAAACCCGGUGAUCUAUCCAUGGGCAGGUUGAAGGUUGGGUAACACUAACUGGAGGACCGAACCGACUAAUGUUGAAAAAUUAGCGGAUGACUUGUGGAUGGGGGUGAAAGGCCAAUCAAACCGGGAGAUAGCUGGUUCUCCCCGAAAGCUAUUUAGGUAGCGCCUCGUGAAUUCAUCUUCGGGGGUAGAGCACUGUUUCGACUAGGGGGUCAUCCCGACUUACCAACUCGAUGCAAACUGCGAAUACCGAAGAAUGUUAUCACGGGAGACACACGGCGGGUGCUAACGUCCGUCGUGAAGAGGGAAACAACCCAGACCGCCAGCUAAGGUCCCAAAGUCAUGGUUAAGUGGGAAACGAAGUGGGAAGGCUCAGACAGCCAGGAUGUUGGCUUAGAAGCAGCCAUCAUUUAAAGAAAGCGUAAUAGCUCACUGGUCGAGUCGGCCCGCGCGGAAGAUGUAACGGGGCUAAACCAUGCACCGAAGCUGCGGCAGCGACACAAAGUGUUGUUGGGUAGGGGAGCGUUCUGUAAGCCUGCGAAGGUGUACUGUGAGGUAUGCUGGAGGUAUCAGAAGUGCGAAUGCUGACAUAAGUAACGAUAAUGCGGGUGAAAAACCCGCACGCCGGAAGACCAAGGGUUCCUGUCCAACGUUAAUCGGGGCAGGGUGAGUCGACCCCUAAGGCGAGGCUGAAAAGCGUAGUCGAUGGGAAACGGGUUAAUAUUCCCGUACUGGUGGUAACUGCGAUGGGGGAACGGAGAAGGCUAGGUUGUCCGGGCGACGGUCGUCCCGGUUCAAGCAGGUAGGCAGAGUGAUUAGGCAAAUCCGGUCACUUAAUGCUGAGAUGUGAUGACGAACCACCAAGGUGGUGAAGCAAUUGAUGCCCCGCUUCCAGGAAAAGCCUCUAAGCUUCAGGUUACCAACAAUCGUACCCCAAACCGACACAGGUGGUCAGGUAGAGAAUACUCAGGCGCUUGAGAGAACUCGGGUGAAGGAACUAGGCAAAAUGGUGCCGUAACUUCGGGAGAAGGCACGCUGGCGGUAGGUAAAGUCCCUUGCGGACGGCGCUGAAGCCAGUCGAAGAUACCAGCUGGCUGCAACUGUUUAUUAAAAACACAGCACUGUGCAAACACGAAAGUGGACGUAUACGGUGUGACGCCUGCCCGGUGCUGGAAGGUUAAUUGAUGGGGUCAGCCGCAAGGCGAAGCUCCUGAUCGAAGCCCCAGUAAACGGCGGCCGUAACUAUAACGGUCCUAAGGUAGCGAAAUUCCUUGUCGGGUAAGUUCCGACCUGCACGAAUGGCGUAAUGAUGGCCAGGCUGUCUCCACCCGAGACUCAGUGAAAUUGAACUCGCUGUGAAGAUGCAGUGUACCCGCGGCAAGACGGAAAGACCCCGUGAACCUUUACUAUAGCUUGACACUGAACAUUGAGCCUUGAUGUGUAGGAUAGGUGGGAGGCUUUGAAGUGUGGACGCCAGUCUGCAUGGAGCCAACCUUGAAAUACCACCCUUUAACGUUUGAUGUUCUAACCUAGGCCCAUAAACUGGGUCGGGGACCGUGUCUGGUGGGUAGUUUGACUGGGGCGGUCUCCUCCUAAAGAGUAACGGAGGAGCACGAAGGUUGGCUAAGCAUGGUCGGACAUCAUGCGGUUAGUGCAAAGGCAUAAGCCAGCUUGACUGCGAGAGUGACGGCUCGAGCAGGUACGAAAGUAGGUCUUAGUGAUCCGGUGGUUCUGAAUGGAAGGGCCAUCGCUCAACGGAUAAAAGGUACUCCGGGGAUAACAGGCUGAUACCGCCCAAGAGUUCAUAUCGACGGCGGUGUUUGGCACCUCGAUGUCGGCUCAUCACAUCCUGGGGCUGAAGUAGGUCCCAAGGGUAUGGCUGUUCGCCAUUUAAAGUGGUACGCGAGCUGGGUUUAGAACGUCGUGAGACAGUUCGGUCCCUAUCUGCCGUGGGCGUUGGAAGAUUGAGAGGGGUUGCUCCUAGUACGAGAGGACCGGAGUGAACGCACCACUGGUGUUCGGGUUGUCAUGCCAAUGGCAUUGCCCGGUAGCUAAGUGCGGAAGAGAUAACCGCUGAAAGCAUCUAAGCGGGAAACUUGCCUCGAGAUGAGUCUUCCCUGUCACUUUAAGUGACCUAAAGGAACGUUUAAGACUAAGACGUUGAUAGGCUGGGUGUGUAAGCGUAGCGAUACGUUGAGCUAACCAGUACUAAUGAACCGUGAGGCUUAACCUGACAACACCGAAAGUGUUUUG